UUUCAUUCCAUUUCUUCUCUUUCUUUUUCCAUUUUCCAGUUUCCCAAAUCCAAAUUUUCCAAAACUCGGAAAAAAUGGCGGAGAG
rnacentral:ribozyme from 13 species